CCUACUAGUAAUUGGAAAACUAGAGAAUCUAGGAAACAAACAAAUACAUUAGGAAACUAAUAAUUUUAGGUCCUACACAUCCUGCAUCACAUGUACAUUUGGCCAUAUAGUACAUUAUACAUACACUAGUCUGGACAGUAUGAGUUUGUAUAGUUUCUGUGUUUUGUAUGAUUGGUGUUUGAUAGUUGAUGGAAAUGAGCCAGAAUGUUUUGAAGAGCUAGACAAAUGUCUUAACUGGGGUUAGCUAUUGCUGCGACUCUUUGGGGUCUAAUUUUCCGAUAGUCAUCUUCUCCAAUAGAGCUCAUCUUGAGUUUGUGUUCUGAUUUUCUAAUUGUCUUUGUAUUUACUCAUGGAAGAGAGCUUAUCUCAAAGUCUGAGCAGAGAAGAAGCUGAGAAAGUGGUGGUGUGCCCCCUCCAUUGCCAAAGAAAACAAUAGUCAUGUGUGUUCCCUGUGAAAAGCUCCGUAGGAAAUUUGAUGAUUUUGUGAUCAAAGAUGACAAGCAAUAAAGAUGCUUUUUUGAGAGGCCUCCAUAGUGAUUGUUCUGCUUUGCCUACUGGAUAUGACAAGGAUGAUAGAGUUAUGGCAUAGUUGCCUCUGCACUGGUAGACCAAAAUAAAUCUCGUCACAUAGUUUCACUUCGUCAUCAGUUGGUACUACAUAAUAAUAGCCAAGGCUCAGACGUCCUUGUACUGUGUGUUUUACAGUUCAGCCCUUGCAUGACCUUCUGUUGGGGGAUUGUCUUCUGAACCGUUGGAUCAAUGCUGUCCCUCCGUCGAGAAUUUGAAUUCGAUUGCCAGACAUGCCGAAGCCGGUCCACGGAUGUUAUGCGAAUACAUAUAGAACUUUUCUUACGGGACCAAUGUUCCUUCAACACCUCCCGCAUCCAAUAUCUUCCGGCAAAAUGCAAAGUCCACCUUAGUUUCCCCAUCUCUAAUAGCAUAAAUUACUCCUUUUCUCAUCAUGUACUACAUUUAUUGAUUGCAUUUGCGACAAUGACGACAUCUCUCUUGCAAAAGUGUGGAAUUUACUUGUGGUUACAGGAGAGGAUUGGGGCAAUAGGUAAAGGCCGUAUCUUGUUGAAUUUCAUCAUUUCAAGGGAGGGAGGGCUAUAUAAUUCCUAGUGAAGAAAGGAAAGCAUUUAAUGGCAGGAUUCCAUUGAUUCAUAAGGAAUCCUGUGCGUAAUAAACAGAUACUUCUGUGCGGAAUGAAUUUAUGCGAAAGAAAUCCUUCGUGUGGACAA